GGCUGGUUAGCUCAGUUGGUUAGAGCAUGGUGCUGAUAACACUAAGGUCAAGGGUUCAAUCUCCGUACUGGCCA